AGCCUGUGAUGAAUUUAAUCUUCUGACACCUCGUAUGAACGCUGCUAUGGCAGUACCUGAUUACAUUUAUUCUCUGAGGCUC